rnacentral:misc_RNA from 1 species
GGAAUUGUCACCGGAAACACGUCGAAGACGGGUGAUCUAUCUCCUCUCUCUAUCUCCUCCUCUCCAUUUCCCCUCUUUUAACUUCGCUUUAACUCACUCUCUACGAAGAAGCAAUACAAAAAUCAAUUAAUCUCGAUUCGAUCGAGUUCAAAUCCGGCGGCGGAUAUGGCGGAUAAAGGCAGAGACGGCGGCCACUCGAGUUUACUCGACGGGAAGUACGAAUUAGGCCGUCUUCUAGGGCAUGGAACCUUCGCUAAGGUUUAUCAUGCUCGGAAUCUGCGAACGGGGAAGAGCGUCGCGAUGAAAGUGGUUGGGAAGGAGAAGAUCAUUAAAGUCGGCAUGACGGAGCAGAUCAAGAGAGAAAUCUCUGUGAUGAAAAUGGUGAAGCAUCCGAAUAUUGUGGAGCUUCAUGAGGUGAUGGCGAGUAAAUCGAAGAUCUAUUUCGCGAUGGAGUUCGUUAGAGGCGGUGAACUGUUCUCCAAAAUCGCGAAAGGUCGGUUGCGAGAGGAUGUGGCUAGGGUUUACUUUCAGCAAUUAAUCUCUGCAAUCGAUUUCUGCCAUAGCCGUGGAGUUUACCACCGUGAUCUGAAACCGGAAAACCUCCUACUCGACGAAGACGGUAACCUCAAGGUCACCGACUUCGGCCUCACCGCCUUCUCAGAGCACUUGAAGCAAGACGGAUUGUUGCAUACAACGUGUGGAACUCCGGCGUACGUCGCGCCGGAGGUCAUCGGAAAGCAAGGAUACGACGGCGCGAAGGCCGAUCUGUGGUCUUGUGGAGUCAUCCUUUACGUUCUUCUCGCCGGAUACCUUCCAUUCCAGGAUGACAACAUGGUGGCGAUGUACCGGAAGAUUUACAGAGGCGACUUCAAGUGUCCGCCGUGGUUCUCUCCCGAAGCCCGUCGGCUAAUCACGAAGCUUCUAGAUCCUAAUCCAGUGACCAGAGUCGGUAUCGCGAAGAUUACAUCGUCCUCGUGGUUCAAGAAAUCGGUACCCAAGACUCUGAGUACGAAGGAGGAGCAAGAACAAACAGAGGAGAAUUUCACGAAAUCAAAGCCACCGGCGGAAACAUUGAACGCGUUCCACAUAAUAUCUCUAUCGGAAGGUUUUGAUCUGUCGCCGUUGUUCGAGGAGAAGAAAAGGGAGGAGAAAGAGGAGAUGAGAUUCGCGACUUCGUCGCCGGCGAGCAGUGUGAUAUCGAAGCUUGAGGAAGUGGCGAAGUCAGUGAAGUUCGAUGUGAAGAAGAGCGAAUCGUGGGUUCGAUUGCAGGGGCAAGAGAAAGGGAGAAAGGGGAAACUGACGAUCGCGGCGGAUAUCUUUGCGAUGACGCCGUCGUUUGUGGUGGUGGAGGUGAAGAAGGACAACGGAGAUACUUUGGAGUAUAAUCAGUUCUGCAGGAAGGAGCUCCGGCCGGCAUUGAAGGACAUUGUUUGGACUUCUCCGACGGGAAACUCGACCCCAGCUUGAAGAAUUGUGAUGAAUUCAUCAGAUUUAUGAGAUUGUGAUUUCAAGUUGGGGAAUGGUUUGAGUUUCUAUUUUAUGAAAUGAUAAUUGGUAUGAUUGUUUUGCUUACGAAAUGGAAAUUAUGU